rnacentral:rRNA from 1 species
AGCGAACGCUGGCGGCGUGCCUAACACAUGCAAGUCGAACGUGAACGGCUUCGGCCUAGUAAAGUGGCGUACGGGUGAGUAACACGUAGGUAAUCUACCCAAGAGUCCGGAAUAACCUGCCGAAAGGCGGGCUAAUACUGGAUAGAGCGACGGGACUCGUAAAGAGUUUCUCGGGAAAGGGAGCCCGCAAGGGCCCUCGCUUUUGGAUGAGCCUGCGUCCCAUUAGCUAGUUGGUGAGGUAACGGCUCAC